AAAAGUCAGUUGCAGUGACUAUAACAGAGGGGCUUCCUUGUAAACACCACAAUAUGUGAUCCACACAUCUUAGUUCGAAGCAGCCACCACAGCAGUAAGAAGAAAGAGGUCGAAUACCAGUAGUAACUGAGGCAUAAGGGUCUUUAGAAUAUGUAGCCGUCGCUGACUUCCACUCUUCAAUACUACCCUGUGUUGCCUUGCUUAAGCUGGACACCACCAUAAGACAGAGGAACACAGCAUGUAAAACACCCAUUUGGUUGAGCCAGGUUGAUGGGGAACGAAGUUGCGACAUGGAAGAAGCUUUGGCAAUGGUGGCUUCAUUUCAGGCUCUUCUUUUUAGACAAAUGUUGGUAAGGGAAUAUUGGGGACAUCGGUGAGUGGAUAAAAUAAAGUGGUCCGAGACUCAGGUCACUGCAAAACUUUUUUUUUUUUCUUUUUUGCUUUUUUUUUACAUUAAAGUC